rnacentral:rRNA from 1 species
GAUGAACGCUGGCGGCGUGCCUAAUACAUGCAAGUAGAACGCUGAAGGAGGAGCUUGCUCUUUCCGGAUGAGUUGCGAACGGGUGAGUAACGCGUAGGUAACCUGCCUGGUAGCGGGGGAUAACUAUUGGAAACGAUAGCUAAUACCGCAUAACAGUAGAUAUUGCAUGAUAUUUGCUUGAAAUGGGCAAUUGCUCCACUACCAGAUGGACCUGCGUUGUAUUAGCUAGUUGGUGAGGUAACGGCUCACCAAGGCGACGAUACAUAGCCGACCUGAGAGGGUGAUCGGCCACACUGGGACUGAGACACGGCACAGACGCAUACGGGAGGCAGCAGUAGGGAAUCGUCGGCAAUAGACGGAAGUCUGACCGAGCAACGCCGCGUGAGUGAAGAAGGUUUUCGGAUCGUAAAGCUCUGUUGUAAGAGAAGAACGAGUGUGAGAGUGGAAAGUUCACACUGUGACGGUAUCUUACCAGAAAGGGACGGCUAACUACGUG